CUGGCGGGUGCUAUACUGCAAGUCGAGCGGACAGAUGGGAGCUUGCUCCCUGAUGUUAGCGGCGGACGGGUGAGUAACACGUGGGUAACCUGCCUGUAAGACUGGGAUAACUCCGGGAAACCGGGGCUAAUACCGGAUGGUUGUUUGAACCGCAUGGUUCAGACAUAAAAGGUGGCUUCGGCUACCACUUACAGAUGGACCCGCGGCGCAUUAGCUAGUUGGUGAGGUAACGGCUCACCAAGGCGACGAUGCGUAGCCGACCUGAGAGGGUGAUCGGCCACACUGGGACUGAGACACGGCCCAGACUCCUACGGGAGGCAGCAGUAGGGAAUCUUCCGCAAUGGACGAAAGUCUGACGGAGCAACGCCGCGUGAGUGAUGAAGGUUUUCGGAUCGUAAAGCUCUGUUGUUAGGGAAGAACAAGUGCCGUUCAAAUAGGGCGGCACCUUGACGGUACCUAACCAGAAAGCCACGGCUAACUACGUGCCAGCAGCCGCGGUAAUACGUAGGUGGCAAGCGUUGUCCGGAAUUAUUGGGCGUAAAGGGCUCGCAGGCGGUUUCUUAAGUCUGAUGUGAAAGCCCCCGGCUCAACCGGGGGAGGGUCAUUGGAAACUGGGGAACUUGAGUGCAGAAGAGGAGAGUGGAAUUCCACGUGUAGCGGUGAAAUGCGGUAGAGAUGUGGAGGAACACCAGUGGCGAAGGCGACUCUCUGGUCUGUAACUGACGCUGAGGAACCGAAAGCGUGGGGAGCGAACAGGAUUAGAUAACCCUGGUAGUCCACGCCGUAAACGAUGAAGUGCUAAGUGGUUAGGGGGUUUCCCGCCCCUUAGUGCUGCAGCUAACGCAUUAAGCACUCCGGCCUGGGGGAGUACGGGUCGCAAGACUGAAACUCCAAAGGAAUUGACGGGGGCCCGCACAAGCGGGGGGGAACAUGUGGGUUAAUUCCAAACAACCCGAAAAAACCUUAACCAGGUCUUG
rnacentral:rRNA from 1 species